UACGAAGGGGGCUAGCGUUGCUCGGAAUCACUGGGCGUAAAGGGUGCGUAGGCGGGUCUUUAAGUCAGGGGUGAAAUCCUGGAGCUCAACUCCAGAACUGCCUUUGAUACUGAAGAUCUUGAGUUCGGGAGAGGUGAGUGGAACUGCGAGUGUAGAGGUGAAAAUUCGUAGAUAUUCGCAAGAACACCAGUGGCGAAGGCGGCUCACUGGCCCGAUACUGACGCUGAGGCACGAAAGCGUGGGGAGCAAACAGGG
rnacentral:rRNA from 1 species